CGAGCGGCAGCGCGGGGGCAACCCUGGCGGCGAGCGGCGGACGGGUGAGGAAUGCGUCGGAAUCUGCCUCUUUGUGGGGGAUAACGUAGGGAAACUUACGCUAAUACCGCAUACGACCUACGGGUGAAAGUGGGGGACCUUCGGGCCUCACGCAGAGAGAUGAGCCGACGCCGGAUUAGCUAGUUGGCGGGGUAAAGGCCCACCAAGGCGACGAUCCGUAGCUGGUCUGAGAGGAUGAUCAGCCACACUGGAACUGAGACACGGUCCAGACUCCUACGGGAGGCAGCAGUGGGGAAUAUUGGACAAUGGGCGCAAGCCUGAUCCAGCCAUGCCGCGUGUGUGAAGAAGGCCUUCGGGUUGUAAAGCACUUUUGUCCGGAAAGAAAUCCUUCGAAUUAAUACUUCGGAGGGAUGACGGUACCGGAAGAAUAAGCACCGGCUAACUUCGUGCCAGCAGCCGCGGUAAUACGAAGGGUGCAAGCGUUACUCGGAAUUACUGGGCGUAAAGCGUGCGUAGGUGGUUCGUUAAGUCUGAUGUGAAAGCCCUGGGCUCAACCUGGGAAUGGCAUUGGAUACUGGCGACCUAGAGUGCGGUAGAGGGGUGCGGAAUUCCCGGUGUAGAACUGAAAUGCGUACAUAUCGGGAGGAACAUCCGUGGUGAAGGCUGCCCCCUGGACCAGCACUGACACUGAGGCGCUAAACCGUGUGCAGCAAGCACGAUUAUAU
rnacentral:rRNA from 1 species